UAUACCGUAAAAGAAAAAGAAAAAAAAAAUUAAAAAGAAAAUGAAAGUGAUUUAGAAUAGUGGGCCGAAGUGCAAAGUGUAAAUGUGAAAUGGGCUCAUAAGGGAAUACCGUCUUCAGUCGGGCCACAAGCAAACCCGACUUCUCCUUCUCCUUCCUUUUCCUCUCCACUCCAGUACUUUGACGACCAAAGGGACGACGUGCAACGUUCCCUGCGAUCGUGGCCCGACCGUUUCAGAGACAUCAAAACAAUGACGACCCUUUUUCGCAUGGAUUACAACGAUUCGUGGCGUGGAAGCGAUUAAAUACUUCCUCAAUCGCCCGGAAAAGUCCUGGUUUCAACGCGUCACCGUCGCAGAUCAAUGUCCAGUUUAUUGAGUCCCAAUCGUCCAGGCAUAGCAGUGCAUUUCGAAUCAUCUGGAUCGAUCAAGUCAUCGUAAUGCAAUUUCGUUUAAAAUGGUUGUAAUAAAACUUUGUAAGUACGAUAACUAAUUUGGAAGCCAAAUGACCAGUAAGGCUUAAUAUUGUAGCCUUA